rnacentral:rRNA from 1 species
AGAGUUUGAUCCUGGCUCAGAGCGAACGCUGGCGGCAUGCUUAACACAUGCAAGUCGCACGGGCGGGGGCUUCGGUCCCUGUCAGUGGCGGACGGGUGAGUAACGCGUAGGGAUCUAUCCCUGGAUGGGGGACAACCGCGGGAAACUGCGGCUAAUACCGCAUGAAGGGCCGGGUUUGGCGAUCCGGUCUGAAAGCCUCG